rnacentral:rRNA from 1 species
GACGAACGCUGGCGGCGUGCUUAACACAUGCAAGUCGAACGGAAAGGCCCUGCUUUUGUGGGGUGCUCGAGUGGCGAACGGGUGAGUAACACGUGAGUAACCUGCCCUUGACUUUGGGAUAACUUCAGGAAACGGGGGCUAAUACCGGAUAGGAGCUCCUGCUGCAUGGUGGGGGUUGGAAAGUUUCGGCGGUUGGGGGUGGACCCGCGGCUUAUCAGCUUGUUGGUGGGGUAGUGGCUUACCAAGGCUUUGACGGGUAGCCGGCCUGAGAGGGUGACCGGCCACAUUGGGACUGAGAUACGGCCCAGACUCCUACGGGAGGCAGCAGUGGGGAAUAUUGCACAAUGGGCGGAAGCCUGAUGCAGCAACGCCGCGUGCGGGAUGACGGCCUUCGGGUUGUAAACCGCUUUCGCCUGUGACGAAGCGUGAGUGACGGUAAUGGGUAAAGAAGCACCGGCUAACUACGUG